rnacentral:lncRNA from 1 species
GCAGCGGUUCUGGAAGCUCGGCCUUCUGGGUUCCAGAGAAUGAGCCCUGCAUUCCCCACGCAGAGAGGCACGUACGCAGUCCGCAGUCCGCAGAGAGAUUUGCACCCGCAUCUGGGAAUCACGUGACAAAGAAGGGUCCUGGGCACAGUCUAGCACCGCGAGACGCUGGGUUUGUGAUUCUGCAAAGGUUCUGCGCAGUCCUCGGGUUCCCACCUGGUGGCUCACUACCCCCAGGUUCCCAGGGCCAGCUCCACGUGGGGACCAAGUAUAUGAGUACACUGUAGCUGUACAGAUGUGAGCCAUUAUGUGGUUGCGGAAUUGAACUCAGGACCUCUGCUCGCUCCUGCCCCUCUAGCUCUGGCUCAGAGACGUGUUCAUUAUUAUAUACAAGUACACUGUAGUUGUGAGGCAUCAGAUCUCAUUACAGGUGGUUGUGAACCACCAUGUGGUUUCUGGGAUUUGAACUCAGGACCUUCGGAAGAACAGUCAGUGCUCUUAACCGCUGAGCCAUCUC